GUACAAUCCAUUGAGUCAAAACUGGACUGUCUAUUAGAUAUUUAUCAACAAGUUUUGCGAAAAGGAUCUACAUCUGCACUCACUUUGGCUUCCUUUCAAAUGCCAGCUUUUGAGUGUGAGCAGACUUCUGAUUACCAGAGUCCAUCAGACAGCAAAGAUUUGUCUAAUUCUGCACAAAUCAGUGGAUGUGUAUCCAGAUCAGCUAGUGCCAAUCUGCCUCGUGGCCUACAGCUUAUACUGACACCAAAUGAAUUUAGCACUCAGGCUUACUAUGCUUUCAGUCCAGCUAUGCAUAGUCAAGCGACGCAAGUGCCAAACGAUGGACCUGCAACUUUUAAUAAUACAUCAAACCAAAUAAACCAGGCAACCAAGCCAGCAACUCCAACAACAUUACAAAUACCACCUUUCUCAUCAAUGAAGCAUAUCAAUAAGCCUGAGCCCAUUCAUAUUAUUCCUGUAACCACACAGGAAAAUAUUUCUGAUGUCACUGCUUGCCUUGUUGCAUCAAAGGAUAAUGGACAAGUUGCACAGCCCAGUGCGACAAAGGAUCUCACAUGGAGAAAAUGUCUGGAUACAGAGGGGGAACCUUUUCUCUCUGUUAAACCUGUGGUACAAAUGGAUUUAGGAAAAUCUUUAUCUGUACAAAACCUUAUACAAUCAACAGAAGAACUGAAUGUACAGAUUGCUGGCAGUGACUCCAGUGGUUCCAGAGGUAGCCAAGAUAUAUACUCCAAAUGGAGGGAGUCAAAAUUAUUUAUAACUGAUGAAGAGUUGGAGACAGGGGCGGGAACAGAGACUACUGAAGUCAUCUCACGCCCAUUAGUGGAAGCAACUCUCUCUGCUGACUCUCUAAGGACUGGAAUAUCAAGAUCAUCUCAAAGCCUUUGCAAGCCAGAGGACGGUACAGAAGCACUCAAUCUGCUCCACGUCAAACUGAAAUAACAGCUUGUGGGCUUUCUUCAUUGGCUGGGUCAUUCCUCUAGUCAUACAUAUCAUAGCAUGAACUGU